rnacentral:rRNA from 1 species
UACGUAGGGUGCAAGCGUUAAUCGGAAUUACUGGGCGUAAAGCGUGCGCAGGCGGUUGUGCAAGACAGAGGGGAAAUCCCCGGGCUUAACCUGGGAAUGGCCUUUGUGACUGCACGGCUAGAGUGUGUCAGAGGGGGGUAGAAUUCCACGUGUAGCAGUGAACUGCGUAGAGAUGUGGAGGAAUACCGAUGGCGAAGGCAGCCCCCUGGGAUAACACUGACGCUCAUGCACGAAAGCGUGGGGAGCAAACAGG